GUGGGGGGUCUCUCCAAGAUGGGUCAUGGUGAACCAGAUCCACGUGGCUCACAGCCCACAGGCCCAUAUCUGUAUUUCUUAGCUUUCUUGUUCCUUUCCCUUGACUGGACUUGUGUGCUUCAACUUCGCUACACCUCUGCCAGGCAUUCCCUCUGCGAACUCUCCGACACACCUGACACUUGGCACUCCAGGUCAGUGCUUGGCAUCCACUUUGGCCUUCUCCUUUAUCAGGUAAGACACACCCAGAAUCCUGCAGGCCAGGACUACCGUCCUUCCUUCACCUCCUACCACCACCAACACCGCGUCGCUUCUUACCUGUAUUCGCAUGACUAGUGGGGUCAGCUGAUCAAGGCCCAACCCCCUUUAUGAAGCUGGGCCUCCUGAGGUUGAGGGUUUGGCUGUCUUGUAUUCUCUACACUGGUAUCUGGUGUUAAGCUGACUAGAGACUGGGUCGCACAGGCCCUGGUUACCAGCAAUACUACCUCUCCUUACCUGUCAUUCCCAUUUCUCCUGACUUCUUGUGACUCCCUGGGACUGCAAGGCCAGCCUUUGACAUCCCCGGUUCCUCCUAGGACUCCUCUGAAACUCCAGGUACUUGUAGUGAGCUGAGCUGGGUCAGAACCCUAAGGUCUGCCUUUGCUCCCAAGCCUGGGAGAGGGAUGCCAAUGGCUCCUGUGGCUCUCUUGUUCCUCACAGCUGACUAACAUUCCCCAUCCUUUUGAUUGGACACCAGAUUCAGGAGAGGCUGGAAUCUUAUCUGAGGUGUACCUCAAAAGGUUUACCCUACCCAGCCACCAGGUCCAGGAUUUAGCCCUAGGAGGCCUGGAACUCUGUAAGCAGAAAGGUCUGAGUACAGCCAUGAUCCUGGGCAAAUGUGAGGAUACUGUUCCCCAAGGUCCAGGCUUGGAUGGAUGGAGUCGCCACUGUGCCACACAGAGGCCAGUGAGCUGCCGACCCUGAGGAGUGGAGACAGCCAGCAUGGCCCAGUAUCCUGGGAGCCUCAGAUUGGUGGGCCAGUCAUGGCUGUGAUGACCUACCCAGAAUGGCAUUUCUCUCUGCCUCAGCCCUUUAAUGUCGUGUGUCUCUGCAGCAUAGCAGACAGGAAGGGUUCUGGGCUCCAUGGCAAAGAUUCAGUUUUCUUAGCUCCCCCAAACAGCCUGGCUCUAUGGUAAUGAGUACGUUAGGCUGUUCCAGUGACCAGGCCUUCACAGCCAUUUGGUGGACAUUGGUUGAGUCAUUUGCUAACACCUGCUCUCAUGUAGCCCAGGCUGGCCUUGUGGAUUCAACACAUGCAAGGAUGACCCUACUCCUCAUCCUCCUACCCCCAUCAUCCGCGUGCUACAAUUACAGGUAUGUGUCGCCUCCUUGUGGUUUAUGGGAUGCUGAGGAUCAGUUCCAGUGCUUUGCAAAUGCUAAACAAACUCCCAACUGAGUCGCAGUCUCAGCCUCUUCCCAGGGUUUCCUUCCCUGUCAUGCAGGUGGGCCUUCCUCUCAUUCAGACCAUCUCCGUGAAAGGUUUUCCAGCACCCAUACAAACAUCCAAGAAUCUUCAAGUUGGGGCUUGCUUUCCUUUUGGGGAUGGCUGCUGCUGUUAUAGGUGAGGUCUAGGGUCUCCCACAGAGUUCUCAUCUCACUUCAGGCCUGUGGCUGCUCUAGGCUGGAUCUUUUCGUCCUGGCCUUGCUCUGUGCCUAGAGAAGAGAGCAGUGAGAGAUGGGCUAGGCUGAUGCUGGCCGGGGUUGGAGGGAGGAGGGAAGAUUAAUUGGUUCUCAUUAGCCUAGGAGUCAAUUUGCAGACAUUCGGUAAGAGCCCCUGUAAAGAAAGCUGUUGACAAAUUGGAGUAGAUUCAAACCAAACAGCGAGGCCCUUGAGGGACUGAGGAAGGACUGGAGAGCCCCGAGCAACAAGCAAGGUUGAUUGGCUCUCACAUAGGCCUCCAUUGUGGGCAUGGGCCAGCCAUAUACCCUGCUGAUUGGACAACCAUGGUCUGAUCUCACAGGUGAACACAGUGGGCCUCCUCCAGUGUCAGUGAACUCGACCAAGUUCACAGGGCAGCCAGGACCCAGAGCUCACAUGCCUCGUCCCCAUAGUGAUAUCUGGGCCUUCCAGUUCAGGGCUGCCUCUGUCAGGAUGCAGCUCUCUCUUUCUCUCUCUCUCUCUCUCUCUCUCUCUCUCUCUCUCUCUCUCUCUCUCUCUCUCUCUCUCUCUCUCUCUCCCUUCUGGUUUCCAGUCUCUUCAUCUAUCAGCUAGGCACUCUCAGGCCGAAAGGGCUUCUGGGUAGUAGCAGACAGUCCCAGCUAUUUCUGGAUUCAGCUGCUGCAUCUCUGGAUCCUGGGCGAGCCUCUUGUCUCUGCAUACCUAUUGCAGUGUGCUUAGCUAGUUAACACAUGGUGGCAAAAAUAGAGGAAAGCAGCCGAGGGGUUCCAACCCACAAACCCCUCUGAGCACACUGCUCUGUCCAAAGGCUACAGAACUAGUGAGGCUUAUCUGAACCCUGAGCUGGGUUUUGAGGAGUAGAUAGGAGUUUCCUUGAUGCUAGCACUGGGUGGACGGAACAGCACGGGUCCAGGCACAGGGAAGCAGGUGUAGUAAGUGAUGGGGUACUGCGAUGUGGAGUGACUUGGUGUGUGAGGGAGGUUAGGUUCAGCAUGGCCUCUCUCUCCCGCUGCUCAGAGUAGCAGGUGAGUGCCCGGGCAUCCUGGUGGCCUGUGAAUUCCCCAGGGCUUCCGGCCAGCCCCACCCUGCAGAGCUGUCUGGCACCCGGUGUGAAAAUGAAGAUUGAUCAUGGCGGCAAGGCAGCCUGGCCGCAGAGCCAGCCGGGAGUUGCAGCAACCCCGGGCUUCAUUAUUAUUUUAAGUGUUACUCAGCUUCUUUAUUGAAUUCUCCAAGUCAGGAAAAAUUCUGGCGAGAUAAGAAGUUGACAUUUUCAGACGCAGCAACGAGAGAACUGUGCAGGCGGCGAGGACAGCGCGCGCAGAGCCUGCUUGGCAUGAGAAUGUCCCAGCCCACUGCCACCACCCACGGCCACACAGGCACAUGCACAGGCGUGCUGACUCAGGACAAGGGAGCCCAGCCAACCGGGGGUGGGGGCAGAGGGGAGGGAGAGAGGGGGAAGGCUGCUUCCGAGAAAACCACUGGAGACCUCUCUCUUCUCUCUACCUCCCCCUACCCUGCCUGUCUCCCUACCUUCCUUUAUUGAGUACCUACUAUGUGCCAGGCUGGGGUGCACACUAGCUCAGCAUAGGGCUCUUUUUUUGCCUUAGAGUAAGGCUGAGGAUCACAAGCUGUCACUGUGGAGCAGUGUGCACGUGAACAAGGCCAAGUAGAACUCAGGGGAGGAGAUAACCUAGGGUCCUUCCAGGCCUGAUUCCUGGGUGUGUCUGAGGCUACUGGCCUGAAGUGAAGUAGGUAUUGACUUUGGGUUCAGUAUCUGUUUGCUAAGCACAUGAUCACAGUACACCUGCUAAAGAAAUGGACAGCUCUUUCUGGGAAGCUACAUAGGAAUUUCUGUAUGGAUCUUAAGGGAAUUAUGAUUAUAGGGUUUUCUCAAGGGAACAUAUUUUGUUGGUCUUCUGUGAAGGUCAUGGCUGGGGAUACAGACCUGAUGGGGAGGCCCAGCCAAUAUGGCCAAAGGACAGAGGAAGAGACAGAGGUAAGAUAUGGAGGCCAAGGUUCCAGAGCCAUCUCUUCAGAUCCUUGGCUGGCUGGCCUCAGGCCUGGAACAAAAUGGGUCUGAAUUUGAGUAUUCCGUGAAAGAAUGACAUGAUCUCAGACACACACAACAUUGUCCCAGCCCUGUGGUGGGAAGGUCCUGAGACCAUCUCACCUGCACAUGAACUCUAGGAAAUUACUGUCCCAGAACAGGCUGAGUCUAGGUCAUUGUCUUAGGGUCACCACCUGCCUCUGUGGCCUCCUCUUUCACAUAGGUACACUUAGGGGUACAGAGAGACACACAGAUGCAUCCACACAGACAUACUCAUGAGCAAGCCUGCAGCUGCUAGUCCCUCUUCAUCCUUCCAGCUUACACAGGACAGAGCUUUCUGCACCCCAGGGCUUUACCUCUUCUCUGUAAACCCAUGGGCAACGGUUAUGUCGGGAAUGUUCCCCAAAGGCCCAUAUACUAACUUAAUCAUAGCCAGGGACAUUGGAGGGUGGAGUCUUUAAGAGGUGGGGCCUGGUGGUAGGAAGUUAAGUCAUUGGUGCCCCCUUGAAGAAAAGUAUGGGGAACCUACCCCCUCUCUCAGCUUCCUUGCUCUGAGGGGUGAACAGGCCUUCUCUGCCACCAUGAUAUACUCUGCUGCCAUAGACCCAAAGCAACAGGGCCUGGUGACCACGGGCUGGAAUCUUUGAACUGUGAGGCAUAUCUUUUCUUCCUCUUUGCUCUUUGUCUCAGGUAUUUUGUCUUAGUCACAAAAAACUGACAAGAAUUCAGGCCCCUCACAAUGAAAAGCCUUGUGCGUACAGAGUAACAGCAGUUUGUAGCUCAGGGGCCGAGGUUUGACCACAAUGGCACAAUGGCACAAUGGGCAGGCUCUUCAGAGACAUGGCCUGGGGACUAGUUGUAGCUUGUCAGGUUUGAGAUAGUUCUGCUAACUGCCAGCCCAAGCAUCUCUCCCUGUAAAGGAUGGUGCGAAUCUCUCUUGACUCAGGAGGAACUGCUAAGCACAUCUGCUUGGCACUAAUAACAGCCUGGGCCACCGUGUCUCAUUUAUUCCUUUCUACCCUGGCCUGUGUCUCUGUGCACUGAGCUCUCAGCAAGGAGCAUCCUGACCAGCUUACAGUACAGGCCUCAGCUGCUAUCUCCCUUCUCUCUACCAUCCUGUGGCUUGCACGUGACUAAACCUUAGAACACACCUCUCCUGUAUCCUCUGCCCUACCUCAAUCUAAGCAUUCCUUAGCCCAUUGGUGUAGUAGAGCUUGCCUACUACUUCAGGGCAAUGAGAAAGCAUCUCCGAGGUCUCUCUGAUCCUCCUUCCUCCCAAGGCCCCUGGACUUGCAGAUCUCUAAGCCCAGUCCCUAGACCUUCAGACUCUCACCUUUCCUCUCCCUGCUAGCUGUUGACUCUCACUAUCUGCCUCUCUAAUUUGAUGGACUCCAUGAGGUAAGGAACCUGGCCACUCAGUCAUGUGUCCACAGUAGGUAAGAGGGUAAAGUUACCUUUGAAGGUAGCUCUUCUUCCCUGGCUGCUGGCCUAGUACAGGAGUUCACAGUGUGGAAAGAGGAGAGCUUCUGGCUUGCCAAUAGAGAUCCUCUCAUACUAUCCAUACAAUAGACAAAGCUACAGAGUCUCAGGGAAAUCCCAGAAUUCAGGCUGCUCAAGCCCAGACCUGGCCUCCAUAUUGAAACGCCAAGUUCAAGUUUAGGUAAGUAGAACUCAGUCCUAUCUCUUGUGGGUCAGCAGAUGAGGUUCAGCCAAGUGCAGAAGGAAGAAAGAGAGGCAAUCCUGGAAGCCUGCAUGGAGGGGACCUGGGGGGGGGGCGUGGACCUUGCCAGUGCAUGGGAUGUGGGGAGACACAAGAGCAGUGUUAGUGUUGUGGUCCUUCUGUGUUCAUCUCAGGGACCAGGCAUGAUCUGGAGAAAAGAGUGCACACCAUGUUGUCCGGUCCUCAGUGGCUACUUACAGGGAUGAGACAGACUCCAUAGAAAGGAGAGGCACCUGAACACUGGAUUCUGGAGGUCUGGACACAGCAUCCCUCUCUCCACCAGCUUCCAAUAGUGGCUGGGGCUGAGGCUGUUCUUCCCCGAGAAAGACUGUAAGCAAGCUCUGCUUUGCCUAAACCAGAGGUUCUCAGACUGCAGGAGUCCCAAGACCCCUCACAACACCCGCAGGGUAUGACUAUUCUUCAGGAGCAAGCAGAGAGACACCCAGCAGAAGCGGGACCCAUGGGCAAGAGUGAGAGGGUCGGUUUCUUGUGUUCUGUGCCAGCCCCUCCUUUUGUGUUUUGGUUUUAGAAAGCAGUGUGUGUGUGUGUGUGUGUGUGUGUGUGUGUGUGUGUGUUAAAUGUAGUUCACGUGUUAACAGGAUGGAGCCAGUUUUUUUUAAAGUCUUUAAAAAUGUUUUCUAUUCCAUUUCUGUUGCUGUUAAUAUUGUAUCACAAGUGUGUGUGUGUGUGUCUCUGUAUGUCUGUGUGUCUGUCUCUCUGUGUGUGUCUGUGUCUGUGUCUGUGUGUGUCUGGCUCUCUGUGUAUGUGAGUGUCUAUCUCUGUCUCUCUGUGUGUGUGUGUGUCUGGCUCUCUGUGUAUAUGUGUGUCUAUCUCUCUCUCUCUUUCUCUGUGUGUGUGUGUGUGUGUGUGCUGGGUGGAACUGUGACAGACCAUGAGGAGAGGCAGUACAGAAUAUGAGGAGGGUGUGCACGCUGUCCUGAGCCUCGUAUACUUGGCUCCUCCCUCUACACACACACACACACACACACACACACACACACACACACGGGCACACGGGUACACGGGCACACGGGCACACGGGCACACGGGCACACGGGCACACAGGCACACGGGCACACACACAUACACACACACACAGAGCCAGAGACUCAUUCAUUUAGCCAUCUACCUAUCCCUUUCCUUACACACUUAUUCCCAUGCCUACCUACCCAACUAUUUUAUCAUCUGACAUGUAUACAAGGCUUGCCCAGCGCAGUCUGCUGGAAUCUACUAGGCCAUGCGGAUUUGGUCGGUGCCAGCGAAAGCUGAGGAGAGGAUGAGUGGCUGCUCCAGCAGGGCGGAGAACUGAGCAUGGGGAGGCUCCCUCCUGCUGUGAUGGCUCUGGAGAUAGUCUCCCCCGGAAAUUGAUAGUGCAGCACUCAGGGACUUUAAUAUCAUGGCUCCACGGGGACGCUGUGGAGUCUGCCGUUGCUAAGCGUCCCGGCAUCUGCAGUGUGGGCGUGGGAGGAACCGACUCACCCGUCCAUCUGCCCUUCCUUACGCAGCACACUCACUCAUUCACUGACUCAUUCAUCCAUUCCUCCUCCCUCUACACACACACACACACACACACACACACACACACACACACACACAUGUGCACACGCGGGCACACACACAUACACACACACACAGAGCCAGAGACUCAUUCAUUUAGCCAUCUACCUAUCCCUUUCCUUACACACUUAUUCCCAUGCCUACCUACCCAACUAUUUUAUCAUCUGACAUCCAUAAGCAUUUGCCCUGGACCAGGUCACGUUUCUGGGAGAUAAUGGUGACUUAUAUAUGUUCUCAUCUACAAGGAUCUUGGAAGGCCAGUGAGAAAAUACUACUUCAAUGGGUGAUGAUGAUAAUGGUGAAGGUAUUAGUGAUAGACAGUGUUGUUGUUGUUGGAGCAAUGGUGAUUAUGGUGAUGAUGGAGAUGAUGCUGAUGAUAGUGAUGUGGAGAUGAUGGUGAUGAUAGUGGACAUGGCAUGAUGAUGGUGCUGAUGGUGGCGAUGAGUAUGAUGGAGUAAUGAUGAUGAUGGUGUGGUGGUGAUAAUGCUGUCACAUGAUGGACACCACUGUGGUGGUGGUGGUGAUGAUGGUGGGGGGUGUGUGGAAGAAUUAGUCACUUGGCAUGGUGAGCAGUUAAUGUAAUUCUGUAAGACCGCGUGAUCCCUUACAUGGUCUGGAAGUCAGUGUCACACAUGACUAGCCUAAGGAUUUAGAAUCCAGCACUCCAUGUCACCAGCCUAGAGGCUAGGCUUGGUCUAGAAUAUUGACAUAGUAUGUCAUUGAGGGGCUUGCAUGAGGCAGGGCACAUAUAUGUCCAGGAAGUGUUAGUGGACAAUCACAUGUCAGGGAGGUCUGAAGAGCUGCCUGAAAAGGAGCCAGGGGUCCAGUAGGAGUCAGCACAUGGCCUGGAGAAAGUCAUCAGACAUCUGGGUGGAGAGAGGCCAGGACCAUGCAGCAUGAUGAGAUGCGGGUAAAAGAAGCUUUAAGGUCAGUGCACCGUCCGUGCAGGGAUGGUGCAGAACAGAAGGCACGAGAGACGGUGACCUGCUCAGAUCUGACCAGCACGCUGAACAGGUGGGUCUGCUACCUCAGUGGACUAGCUACCCUGCCUGCUCAGAAGUGCUCCUGGGUGGUCGUUGAGAGUUUGGGCUCCAGCCCUACUGGCUUGGGCCUGGCUGGAACACCUUUGGCCCAGAACUGAGCCCUCUACUCAGCUUCAACCUUCUAGGGCUGCUCUGUCAAAGCCUCAUCCUGCCCCCCACCCAUAGGCUCAUGGGCUUCCCAGGGGUUGGAUGUUCUUUGAAGCUGACUAAGUCACAGGCACAGAGUGCCAAGGACCCUGUGCAGCCCUUGGCUCGCCCAGGAGCCUGUGGGUGGCCUGGGAGAGCUUGUUCUUUUGGGUUUUCACCUCGUCCUGGACAGCCACGCUGGGAAGGCGCGCUGAGAACAAGCACGACUCCCUAAACAGAGGGGAUAUUGACACGGCUAUUUUUAGUCUUUAUUAAAAUAAGUCUGCUUUGCUCCUUUCUCUGCUCCUCUCUCCGGCUCAAUCUUCCUUUCCAGAUUGAAUGUGUGUGUCCAGGCCAAGGCGCCAGGGGAGCUGAGCUGCAAUCAAAAUGUUAAUAAGCCACUGAUUGUGCCUUGGAUGCCUCCUCCCCCUCUUCCUCUGCCUUCCCCAGAUGUUGUGGGGUCUUCAAGAGCCCUGGGAAGCUGCACACGUGUUCAGAAAACGAGACUUUGGCAUCAUGCUCCAGGCACAGAGCUCUGGAGAUCUCAAGAGCAAGGGACAGGCUGUGUUCUGGAUCCUCGCUGUGUCCCAUGUCCCUGCUGCUUCUCCACAUGGGGCUCAGGGUAGGCACAGAGCCAAGAAACCAGUGUCCAUGAUGUUGGAUCCACCAGACCAGAACCAGGGUCCCUCAUACAUAGGCAGUCAGCACUGUCACAGGGAUGGACAAUCUCAUGUCUGAGAUAGAGAGUAUGAGGUCUGCCAGGGGGCAGCCUCUGUGAGGGGAGACAGCGCCCUCAGGAGCAUGAUCGCAGGUCUGUCUCUUUGAAUUGUGCCAUCUGGCACAGUGACAGUCUCUGUGAUAGGGGCAGGGGAGCAUCUCCUGUCAUCUGUGUAGCCAGUUAAUGUGUUUCUACAGAACUUGAGCCAGAAGUGAGCUAGGAGGUGUGUCUUAAGAGAAAAAGCAUACAUUAAGCCAGCCUUGGGGCUUUGUGGCAGAGUGACAGUGGAUAUCCCCCAAACCUAUAGGAAGAUCCACAAACUUAUGUAGCAAAGGGGAAACACACAUCAUGGAGAACGGGAAUAGUCUGUGCAAAGGGCCCUGUGGUGGGGCACGUGGCAGACAUGAAGGAGCAUAAAAUCAAGUAAAGUUGAAAUGGAACGAGUUGAGAGUGAAGCCAUGACAGUCAUGAUGAGACCUUGCAGGGCCUAGGGCUGACCUAGACAAGUCUUGAAGAUGUAGAACAUGGGUGGGAUGGGUGAAGGGAUCUGUAGACAGCAGACAGCAGUCUGUAGAGGUGACAGGCCAUUGUGGCAGUCUGGUGACAGUAGAUUGAGGACAAGGACAAUCAAGAGGGGCUUAACAGUGAGGGGACAGCAAGCCGGGCAGGGAAGAGCCCCAAGCAAGACUAGGUGUCACCACUGCCAGGAGUCAAUAGGCUGCCAGACUUGGCUGGGGGAACUGGGAAGAGCAGGGUCUGUGUCCCCAGAGGGUUACCUGGGUCAGGUUGAAGCUUGUUAAGUAAGGUGUGCUGUUUGCCACUUUGCCCACUGUUAACUACCAUGCAAUAUCUCACAAGAAACGCCUUCCACAUUCUCACCAAUAAUGUGAACCUACCAGGGCAGUGUGAGGCUGCCUGGGCCUCUCACAAUGGAUCAUGAGUAUGUCCAGUACCUAAGGGAGAGAGUAGGGGACUGUUUCAUCAGGCAGGUGGGGCUGGGGUCCUGGGAGACCCCUACCUGCCUGUCUCUCUUCCCACAGUCUCUAUGAGAUAAAAGAAGAGAGGCUGGAGAUGUGAGGGCCAUGCAGCCCAUGACACCCAGCCCAAGAGAGCAAUGGCUGGUGGCUGGAGCACCUCAGGAGCCAAAGCCAAGGUUGCAACCCUGAUCUUUAUUCACACGGGACUUCUGAUCACGUAUGUAGGAAAAAAAAAAUCCUUGGGCCAGGCAUGCUAGAAAGCUCCCCUCAAGGCUUCAUUCUGGCUUUUUCUAUGUCUGUCCUCUGGCUUCUGUCUUUCCCUGAGUGACAUCCCUUCUGGGGAGAGUGGCUGGAGGACCAUCUUAGGACCCAGCUGACAUCACCUGCAUACAUCUGUGCUCUGAGAAGCUAGGGAAGUCCCUGACAUCAUCAUUUCUUCCCCAUGGCUCUGGGUCUAGGAACCAAGGAGUAAUUCCUGCUUGUUGCACCAUGGCCUUUGGAUGCUGUACAUAAAUGGUCUUUUAAGGCUAUGUCUGUCCCCUGCACCACAGGCUAACCUUGCCCACUGGUCUCCAGAGCAGAGACUAUACCCGAGGGCAGGGAUACUGUGGGUAGGAAAAAUCCUGCAAGUACAUGCAUGUGAGAGAGGAACUCUUGACUGUGACCUGUCUGUUCAGGGCCAACACAAGGAGGCACUGGGACCAAGAUUCAUGUGCAACAGUAGCAGGUUCUAGGCAGACCUAGAUAACAGAUUCCAGAAUCAGAGCUGGCUGCCCACCGAGGUGCCUACACAUGCCAAGAAUGCCAUCUCCCUAAUAGCACAGGGCACUCUGUGAUUGUGGUUCCAGAAUAUAGGACUAGCCUGGACACUGGACACAGAGAGCUGGCAGGGAGCAAGAGCAGCUUGAGGUUGGUCCCAGAUUCCUAUGCUGUGACCCUUCCCAAUCUUCUUCUGGCCCUCUCAGUCAGGAGCCUUGCACUGCCAUUUGACAGUCCUGGAGAACUGACUUCAUGGUGAGUUCCAGCUUGUCUCUGUAGACCAUGAAGAAGGGUACCUUUCCCAGGAUUGACCAUGUAGAGUAUGUUGGAACACACCCCCAGCCCUCCUUCCCACCCCAUACUGCUAACUACUGCUCAUUGCUUUCAGCGUGUCUUUCAGGCUCAUAGUCACAUCCUACAGGACACUCACUGUUCUGCUGUGGCAGGCUGACUUGGGAGGUCAGCAAGGACCAGCUGCUCCAAUAUCGUAGGCAUCUUCAAUCUCCUAGGACCCCGUCAGUGAGGUGUCUGGACCCUAAGGGGGCUGUGAGUCUUGCUGGAGGUUGAUCCCAUCUGAGCAGCUACUCCUGACUGAGGACCAGACACCAUGUCUUGAGGAAUAGUCCCCAGCAGAGAAAACCUCAUCCUGUUCCCACAGGACCCUGGCCUGUCAUCAUGGGUCCCCUGGGUGAGAUCCAAUCAUCCAGUGGUCAGCUCACUCCUGCUAGCUAACUGUUGCUUGUAACUCGCCAGGAUCCCAGGCAUCAGUGAAGCCCUGAGCCAGAAAGCUCCAGGCUGGUCCCUUCUUCUCCUUGUGGUAGCUUGUUGGCUGGACAUGGAGACCCUCUCAUGGUGCUCUGCCCUUAGUGGCUUCUCUGGCGGUCCUUGGAAAAGGCGUGGCUAGCUACCUGGUGGAUUCUCCAAGCAUCCCCAUCUGCUCUGGAUGGAGGAUGUUGAAUGAUGUGCAUUAUUCUGUCACCUGAUGGGACAUGUUUUGCUGGGUGUUGGAUGUGCGUGCAUUCAGUGUUGAGCCUCUGAGCUUUGAGUAAGCCAUGGUCCUGUCAAGACCUUCUCACCUACAAACUGAAGAGGGGUCAGCUGCAUAGUGACCCCCCAGUCCCUGUGACACUAUGGCUCUGGAGUCCCGGUUGCCAGGGGCAGCUUUCUCUCUCCAAAUGUCAGCACGGAUAUUAAAGCUCUCUG
rnacentral:lncRNA from 1 species